GCUGGCGGCGUGCUUAACACAUGCAAGUCGUACGAGAACUCUUCUGCUUGCAGAAGAUAGUAAAGUGGCGCACGGGUGAGUAACGCGUGGGUAAUCUACCUCCGAAUCGGGGAUAACCCGCCGAAAGGCGAGCUAAUACCGGAUAAUAUCUUUAAAACUUAGGUUUUAAAGAUCAAAGGUGGUCUCUACAUGUAAGCUACUGUUUGGAGAUGAGCCCGCGUACCAUUAGCUUGUUGGUAGGGUAAUGGCCUACCAAGGCCG
rnacentral:rRNA from 1 species